rnacentral:rRNA from 1 species
GACGAACGCUGGCGGCGUGCUUCACACAUGCAAGUCGAACGAGAAAUUCACUUCGGUGGAUGGUACAGGGGUCAAAGGAGCAAUCCGGUUUAAGAUGGGCUCGCGUCCGAUUAGCUAGUUGGUGAGAUAACAGCCCACCAAGGCAACGAUCGGUAGCCGACCUGAGAGGGUGAUCGGCCACAUUGGAACUGAGAAACGGUCCAGACUCCUACGGGAGGCAGCAGUGGGGAAUAUUGGGCAAUGGGCGAAAGCCUGACCCAGCAACGCCGCGUGAAGGAAGAAGGCCUUCGGGUUGUAAACUUCUUUUACCAGGGACGAAGAACGUGACGGUACCUGGAGAAAAAGCAACGGCUAACUACGUG